rnacentral:tRNA from 1 species
GUGGGCGUGGUGGAAUUGGUAGACACGUCAGACUUAGGAUCUGAUGCUUAUCAUGCGUAAGGGUUCGAAUCCCUUCGCCCGCACAA